GAGUGUUUCUUCUUUAUACUGAUUGUGCUUUUUGAAAAGUAGUUUCUUAGGACUCAAUAUUCCUUUUGAUUGAAACAAAACGUUAUCAUAAACGACUUUAAGAGCAUUGAGGGGGAUAGAGCUAUGGGGCUUCAGUCACUUCCUGUUGCUUUUGGGAUGGAAACUGCAAAAUGGAUAUGUGUUGGAGCAAUUGACAUCACUCAAUUAUCUGUUGCAGGCUACCUGUUUAGCACUGGCAAGCUAUAUUAUGCCCGGGCACUGCUUG